rnacentral:rRNA from 1 species
GACGAACGCUGGCGGCGUGCCUAAUACAUGCAAGUAGAACGCUGAAGGAGGAGCUUGCUCUUCUGGAUGAGUUGCGAACGGGUGAGUAACGCGUAGGUAACCUGCCUGGUAGCGGGGGAUAACUAUUGGAAACGAUAGCUAAUACCGCAUAACAGUAGAUGUUGCAUGACAUUUGCUUAAAAGGUGCAAUUGCAUCACUACCAGAUGGACCUGCGUUGUAUUAGCUGGUUGGUGGGGUAACGGCUCACCAAGGCGACGAUACAUAGCCGACCUGAGAGGGUGAUCGGCCACACUGGGACUGAGACACGGCCCAGACUCCUACGGGAGGCAGCAGUAGGGAAUCUUCGGCAAUGGACGGAAGUCUGACCGAGCAACGCCGCGUGAGUGAAGAAGGUUUUCGGAUCGUAAAGCUCUGUUGUAAGAGAAGAACGAGUGUGAGAGUGGAAAGUUCACACUGUGACGGUAUCUUACCAGAAAGGGACGGCUAACUACGUGCCAGCAGCCGCGGUAAUACGUAGGUCCCGAGCGUUGUCCGGAUUUAUUGGGCGUAAAGCGAGCGCAGGCGGUUAGAUAAGUCUGAAGUUAAAGGCUGUGGCUUAACCAUAGUACGCUUUGGAAACUGUUUAACUUGAGUGCAAGAGGGGAGAGUGGAAUUCCAUGUGUAGCGGUGAAAUGCGUAGAUAUAUGGAGGAACACCGGUGGCGAAAGCGGCUCUCUGGCUUGUAACUGACGCUGAGGCUCGAAAGCGUGGGGAGCAAACAGG